UACGAAGGGGGGCUAGCGUUGCUCGGAAUUACUGGGCGUAAAGCGCACGUAGGCGGCUUUGUAAGUUAGAGGUGAAAGCCCGGAGCUCAACUCCGGAAUUGCCUUUAAGACUGCAUCGCUUGAAUCAUGGAGAGGUGAGUGGAACUCCUAGUGUAGAGGUGGAAUUCGUAGAUAUUAGGAAGAACACCAGUGGCGAAGGCGGCUUACUGGUCCGGUACUGACGCUGAGGUGCGAAAGCGUGGGGAGCAAACAGG
rnacentral:rRNA from 1 species